rnacentral:rRNA from 1 species
UGAGCAAUCUGCCCUUCUCAUCGGAAUAAGCGUUGGAAACGACGUCUAAUGCCGAAUACGACCUCCUUUCACAUGAUCGGAGGUGGAAAGCUCCGGCGGAGAAGGAUGAGCUCGCGGCCUAUCAGCUAGUUGGUGUGGGUAAUGGCCCACCAAGGCGACAGGUGCCGG